rnacentral:rRNA from 1 species
AUGCUCAUUGUUUUGACUGUAAUACUAAUGGGAGCUAAAGUGGAAGGUGAGAGUUACAAUCCUGGAUACUAUGCUACAGGGGAUCUGCACAUGGACUCAAAUGGUUGGCGCUCUCCAUACUAUGAGGAUAGAACAUCAAAUGGACAGUUGUACAAUGGCUUCAUGACAAAGCAGGCAGAUGGUUAUUCAGAAUACGACAACGAAACGCUAAAGCGCACAAUGCUUUCACAUGAAGCUAUGUUUAGACAGCAGGUUUAUGAACUGCACCGGGUUUACAAAAUACAGAGAGACCUGAUGAAGCAUUAUGAAAACAAAGAUGCAUAUGCAUACCCAGAACUGGCAGAUGCAUCACAGACAAAUUCGUCAUCACAAGUUCAACCAAAUGGCUCAAAGAUGAUAUGGCAGAUGCCUCUGGUGGCCAAAACAUACGGAGAGGCUACUGUUGCAGUGCACACUGAUACAAACCACUCCUUGAAGUUCCUUAGUGAUGGCAGUGUCCUGCCCUCUCCAAAUGGAUUCCCCUCGAAUGGUGUUGCUUUAAAUACCAAGCAAGGCAUUAUUGACCUUGAGCUUCCAGCUGAUCAUUAUAUAGAUGAUGACAACACAUCAGAUAAUAAGCCUAUAGAUUUCCUUGGUGUAGAUUCGGGUACAAAACCUCCGAAUGGUGCAGAAGGCUUGGGGAGGUUCAAUGAUAAUAGCUCAACCUCUGGUUUGCUGACUACCAAUAAACCGGGAGGCUGCCAUGUCGCUGACCUGAAUGAGCCAAUUACUGGGAUGCAUAUGGGUGGAACAAACGGGUCAGUAUCCAGAGGUCUCCCGUAUACCUUGGAGAACUCUUGGCGCCAAUCUGCAGUGAGAUCAAGCACAGCUAACUUUGGUUUCAAUAAAGAAUACUCCAAAGAGAAGCAUACUGACGAAGGAACAAGCUCAAAUUUCCUUGAUGCAAGUGCCAAACUAAGACAGGAGGAGAAACCAUUGAUUGAUAAAGGAAAACAAGUCAGCAACCAAUCUUUUUUUACACCCAGAUACAGCAAUGCUGAUCUGCAAAAAUCCUUCAAAGUUGCUGAUGGGAGAUCUGCAACCAAUGAGAUUAUUUACCAUGGUCAAAACAGUUCAGUUGGAUGGUUUUCAAAAGGUCCUAUGGGAGCAUCUCCCAUCAAUAAUUUUGCUAGACUUGACCAUCCACAUCAUUCAAGUAUUGGUACACUUGUUGCUCCAAUCUCCAUUCCUCACAUAGACCAUCCUUCCGUCGCCUCUCCUAUAGGUUCUUGCACAGUGGACCCAAGGAGCAGUGUUAUCAACAAUGCUUUCCAGCGAGUUCCAAGUUUCAAUGGAUCUUCAACUGUUAAUUCAUACAAGAGUCCUAGUGCUGUGACCCAAAGCAUUGGACCUUCGAUUCAUAAGCUGAAAAGAUUUGAUAAUUUGGAUGGUAGUUACUUUGGCUUUCCACCUGAUCCAUUUUCCGCAUCACGAUCCAGACAACAGGUUGCAAUUUCGAGCGAGUUGGAGCAAAGGAACUGCCUGAUGUUUGAACAUUCAGCAGCACGGCAGUCUCAUGGGUAUCCUCAGUCCACAAACGGCAAGGGCAUAAAGAACUUUAAUUUGAAUGAAGCACUGUCAGAUGGUCUGGAAGAGCUUGUAGAACGGGGUCGGAGAUCUGUUGGUAGUUUGCAGCAUAUUAAAGGCGAGGGAUCAGUAUUUGGGAUCUCUUGGCUAAAAAAUAAAGCCACUUGUGCUGACCCAACAGGGCUGGAAAAGCAAAGAAAGAUGCUUGGCCAUUCCAACGGGACUGCAGCAGACACGAAAAUCAACAAUAACUUGACAGGAAUAACACCGAUUGUUUGCAAUUUGUCAGAUUCUGCCUCGACGUCCCUAGGUUGCAGAAUUAAGAUAGAUGAUGCUUCUGAAGGCAUCACUGAUAGAACUUGGCUGGUAUGUAAUAAGACUGAGGAGAGUACUACGAGACAUUUACCACUUUCAAGCCAGAAACCCUUGGAUAGAGAUGGACAAGCUGCUGAAGGUGUUGUCAAGAAAAGUGGCGCCGCUGUCGUCAGAAAUUUGUUUGAUCUGAAUGAUGAUGUACCACAUGAAGAUAACUCAGAGUCAUCAGUAGUGUCACAUGAAUGUGAUGUGGCGGCCUUACAGAACAACCAUGCUAAGCGCACAUUUUUGUUUGACUUAGAAGAAGUGCCAGCUUGUGAAGAUGGUGCUGCCUGGACUUCUCAACAGGAAUGCACACCUUCUGGCAAGCUUGGUGCAUCCAAGGAAGCUGAUAUGUGUUUUCCAUCCGCUACAGAUGCAGCGCAGAUUAUUCUUGCGUUGUCAACGGAUGUGCCGACCACCACAGGCACACCCGAUGAUAUGUUGCAGUGGUUUGCAGAGCUCGCGAUAUCAAGCAUGGAUGACCAUGCCGAGCAAGCAAAAGUCCAGGGUUGCAUCGAUAAUUCCAGUGAUGAUGGUUCAGACUCAUUUGAAGCCUUGACACUGAAGCUGGAAGAGUGCAAGACCGAUGAGCGCUGGACCAGGACACCAGAACCACCACUGACAGACGAUGACCAAGCUGUUUCAGCGGUGAACCUGCUGUCCAAGCCAAAAAGAGGACCGCAAAGGAAGCGACGGCAGAAGCGGGACUUCCAGAAGGACAUCUUGCCCGGGCUUUCAUCGCUUUCCCGGCCUAAGAUCAUAGAGGACAUUCAGCUAAUUGAGGGGUUAGUACAGGCAUCUGGUGGAUCAUGGGAGUCGAGUUUAACCAGGCGAGCGCGCGGUGGGCGAACAAGAGGUAGAAAGCCCCGCAAAGACCAGCCAGCUACCGUAGAGAUAGAAGCCAAGGCGAGCCCACCACCCUCAAAACCCGACUCUGUUGGCUUAGAAGCUGAUGAAAGGGGCAUGGUUAGCUGGGGGCGAACAACAAGGCGGUGUCGCAAGCCACGAUGCCCAUCGGGCAAUAGCGUCGCAGCUUCGUCCUGA